UCGGAGAGGGGCCUCGCGGGUGCUCUAGAUAGAGUUUGAUCCUGGCUCGGACGAACGCUGGCGGCAUGCUUCAUACAUGCGAGUCGAACGUGAAGCCGACUUCGGUUGGUGGAAAGUGGCGGACGGGUGAGUAAUAUGUAGGAACUCUGCCCUUGAGAGGGGGACAACAGAGGGAAACUUCUGCUAAUACCCCAUAUGAGCGUUUCUGAAAUGGUAUUCUUGAAAACUCCGGUGCUCAAGGAUGAGCCUGCAUCUGAUUAGCUUGUUGGUUUUGUUAUGUUCCACCAAGGCGACGAUCAGUAGCUGGUUUGAGAGGAUGAUCAGCCACAACCCGGACUGAGACACGGCCCAUACUCCUACGGGAGGCAGCAGUAGGGAAUUUUGCGCAAUGGGCGAAAGCCUGAUGCAGCGACGCCGCGUGAGCGAUGAAGUAUUUCGGUAUGUAAAGCUCUAUCAGCAGGAAGAUAAUGACGGUACCUGACUAAGAGCUCCGGCUAAAUACGUGCCAGCAGCCGCGGUAUACGUAUGGAGCAGCGUUAUCCGGAUUACUGGUGUAAAGGGAGCGUAGCGUCUAUUAGUCUGAUGUGAAACUUGGGCUCACUCAAGCUGCAUGAACUGGUGACUGGAUGUCGGAGGGCCAUGGAAUUCUAUGUGACCGGUAUUCGUAUAUAAAGAGAACAAUGUGGGAGGCCGUCUGGCAAUACUGCCUAUGCCCAACGUGAGACAAGAUUAUCUGUUACGCCAAAUAUUGGGGAUGGCGUCGCCCCGAAUCGGUC
rnacentral:rRNA from 1 species